rnacentral:rRNA from 1 species
UACGUAGUGGGCAAGCGUUGUCCGGAAUCAUUGGGCGUAAAGAGCGUGUAGGCGGCCCGGUAAGUCCGCUGUGAAAGUCCAGGGCUCAACCCUGGGAUGCCGGUGGAUACUGUCGGGCUCGAGUCCGGAAGAGGAGUGUGGAAUUCCUGGUGUAGCGGUGAAAUGCGCAGAUAUCAGGAGGAACAGCCGGUGGCGAAGGCGG